AACUGAAUGUGGUUCCUGGACCAAGAUCAACUGGAAACUGACUGUGAAUGCAAAUCUCAUACUCCAGCACAGACUUACUGAUUCGGAAAUUCCACUGAUGGGAUCCAUUGUUCACCAACAGCAAAUGAAGAUCCAAAAUGUUUUACUCCCACCGACUUGAUGCUCUUGAGGACACCAUGGCAGACUAUACAUUGAGAAAGCAAAUCCCCCUCAGUAACAUUUCCAGUGCCUGCUGACCCGAGGCCCCAUCCUCUGGGAUUAUCUCUGACACAGUUCUGCUUCUAUUCAAUAGACUUUCUAUAUUUGACAGUUUCUCAUGUUAUGCAUGUGGUUUAAAGCUCUGCUGAAACCGUUCGCUUUGGCUGACCACCCAGCUUCCAACAUCCCCAACAUCACAGCAACACACAAGCCACCAUUGUUUGACAAACUGACAGACAAGUGGUGGUGUUGCAUAGUAGAAAAUCUUUUAGCCGAGGUCAGAGAGCUACAUUUCUCACCGCGAUAUCAGAAGCUUUCUGGUUUUAUAUUUUGCUUACUUUCUUGUUUUUCUUGAUAUGUCUUUAUAGACAAAAAUAAAGGAAAAUAAAUAAAA